rnacentral:rRNA from 1 species
GAUGAACGCUAGCGGGAGGCCUAAUACAUGCAAGUCGAGCGAGAAGGUUUCUUCGGAGACUGGAAAGCGGCGCACGGGUGAGUAACGCGUACGCAACUUACCCCUGAGAGUGGAAUAGCCCUGGGAAACUGGGAUUAAUACCGCAUAGUUUAUGGAGUUGGCAUCAAUUCCAUAAUAAAGCUUCGGCGCUCAGGGAUAGGCGUGCGUUCCAUUAGCUAGUUGGUGAGGUAACGGCUCACCAAGGCUAUGAUGGGUAGGGGGCGUGAGAGCGUGGUCCCCCCACACGGGGUACUGAGACACGGACCCGACUCCUACGGGAGGCAGCAGUAAGGAAUAUUGGACAAUGGACGGAAGUCUGAUCCAGCCAUCCCGCGUGCAGGAUGAAUGCCCUAUGGGUUGUAAACUGCUUUUANAUAGGAAGAAACCUCCCGACGUGUCGGGAGCUGACGGUACUAUACGAAUAAGGACCGGCUAACUCCGUGCCAGCAGCCGNGGU